AUUGAACGCUGGCGGCAGGCUUAACACAUGCAAGUCGAACGAUGACUCUCUAGCUUGCUAGAGAAGAUUAGUGGCGGACGGGUGAGUAACAUUUAGGAAUCUGCCUAGUAGUGGGGGAUAGCUCGGGGAAACUCGAAUUAAUACCGCAUACGACCUACGGGUGAAAGGGGGCGCAAGCUCUUGCUAUUAGAUGAGCCUAAAUCAGAUUAGCUAGUUGGUGGGGUAAAGGCCCACCAAGGCGACGAUCUGUAACUGGUCUGAGAGGAUGAUCAGUCACACCGGAACUGAGACACGGUCCGGACUCCUACGGGAGGCAGCAGUGGGGAAUAUUGGACAAUGGGGGCAACCCUGAUCCAGCCAUGCCGCGUGUGUGAAGAAGGCCUUUUGGUUGUAAAGCACUUUAAGCAGGGAGGAGAGACUAAUGGUUAAUACCCAUUAGAUUAGACGUUACCUGCAGAAUAAGCACCGGCUAACUCUGUGCCAGCAGCCGCGGUAAUACAGAGGGUGCGAGCGUUAAUCGGAAUUACUGGGCGUAAAGCGAGUGUAGGUGGCUCAUUAAGUCACAUGUGAAAUCCCCGGGCUUAACCUGGGAACUGCAUGUGAUACUGGUGGUGCUAGAAUAUGUGAGAGGGAAGUAGAAUUCCAGGUGUAGCGGUGAAAUGCGUAGAGAUCUGGAGGAAUACCGAUGGCGAAGGCAGCUUCCUGGCAUAAUAUUGACACUGAGAUUCGAAAGCGUGGGUAGCAAACAGGAUUAGAUACCCUGGUAGUCCACGCCGUAAACGAUGUCUACUAGCCGUUGGGGUCCUUGAGACUUUAGUGGCGCAGUUAACGCGAUAAGUAGACCGCCUGGGGAGUACGGCCGCAAGGUUAAAACUCAAAUGAAUUGACGGGGGCCCGCACAAGCGGUGGGGCAUGUGGUUUAAUUCGAUGCAACGCGAAGAACCUUACCUGGUCUUGACAUAGUGAGAAUCCUGUAGAGAUGCGGGAGUGCCUUCGGGAAUUCACAUACAGGUGCUGCAUGGCUGUCGUCAGCUCGUGUCGUGAGAUGUUGGGUUAAGUCCCGCAACGAGCGCAACCCUUUUCCUUAUUUGCCAGCGGGUUAAGCCGGGAACUUUAAGGAUACUGCCAGUGACAAACUGGAGGAAGGCGGGGACGACGUCAAGUCAUCAUGGCCCUUACGACCAGGGCUACACACGUGCUACAAUGGUAGGUACAGAGGGUUGCUACACAGCGAUGUGAUGCUAAUCUCAAAAAGCCUAUCGUAGUCCGGAUUGGAGUCUGCAACUCGACUCCAUGAAGUCGGAAUCGCUAGUAAUCGCAGAUCAGAAUGCUGCGGUGAAUACGUUCCCGGGCCU
rnacentral:rRNA from 1 species